GGGACACGUGGUAUCCUGUCUGAAUAUGGGGGGACCAUCCUCCAAGGCUAAAUACUCCUGACUGACCGAUAGUGAACCAGUACCGUGAGGGAAAGGCGAAAAGAACCCCGGCGAGGGGAGUGAAAAAGAACCUGAAACCGUGUACGUACAAGCAGUGGGAGCACGCUUAGGCGUGUGACUGCGUACCUUUUGUAUAAUGGGUCAGCGACUUAUAUUCUGUAGCAAGGUUAACCGAAUAGGGGAGCCGAAGGGAAACCGAGUCUUAACUGGGCGUUAAGUUGCAGGGUAUAGACCCGAAACCCGGUGAUCUAGCCAUGGGCAGGUUGAAGGUUGGGUAACACUAACUGGAGGACCGAACCGACUAAUGUUGAAAAAUUAGCGGAUGACUUGUGGCUGGGGGUGAAAGGCCAAUCAAACCGGGAGAUAGCUGGUUCUCCCCGAAAGCUAUUUAGGUAGCGCCUCGUGAAUUCAUCUCCGGGGGUAGAGCACUGUUUCGGCAAGGGGGUCAUCCCGACUUACCAACCCGAUGCAAACUGCGAAUACCGGAGAAUGUUAUCACGGGAGACACACGGCGGGUGCUAACGUCCGUCGUGAAGAGGGAAACAACCCAGACCGCCAGCUAAGGUCCCAAAGUCAUGGUUAAGUGGGAAACGAUGUGGGAAGGCCCAGACAGCCAGGAUGUUGGCUUAGAAGCAGCCAUCAUUUAAAGAAAGCGUAAUAGCUCACUGGUCGAGUCGGCCUGCGCGGAAGAUGUAACGGGGCUAAACCAUGCACCGAAGCUGCGGCAGCGACGCUUAUGCGUUGUUGGGUAGGGGAGCGUUCUGUAAGCCUGUGAAGGUGUACUGUGAGGUAUGCUGGAGGUAUCAGAAGUGCGAAUGCUGACAUAAGUAACGAUAAAGCGGGUGAAAAGCCCGCUCGCCGGAAGACCAAGGGUUCCUGUCCAACGUUAAUCGGGGCAGGGUGAGUCGACCCCUAAGGCGAGGCCGAAAGGCGUAGUCGAUGGGAAACAGGUUAAUAUUCCUGUACUUGGUGUUACUGCGAAGGGGGGACGGAGAAGGCUAUGUUGGCCGGGCGACGGUUGUCCCGGUUUAAGCGUGUAGGCUGGUUUUCCAGGCAAAUCCGGAAAAUCAAGGCUGAGGCGUGAUGACGAGGCACUACGGUGCUGAAGCAACAAAUGCCCUGCUUCCAGGAAAAGCCUCUAAGCAUCAGGUAACAUCAAAUCGUACCCCAAACCGACACAGGUGGUCAGGUAGAGAAUACCAAGGCGCUUGAGAGAACUCGGGUGAAGGAACUAGGCAAAAUGGUGCCGUAACUUCGGGAGAAGGCACGCUGAUAUGUAGGUGAAGUCCCUCGCGGAUGGAGCUGAAAUCAGUCGAAGAUACCAGCUGGCUGCAACUGUUUAUUAAAAACACAGCACUGUGCAAACACGAAAGUGGACGUAUACGGUGUGACGCCUGCCCGGUGCCGGAAGGUUAAUUGAUGGGGUUAGCGCAAGCGAAGCUCUUGAUCGAAGCCCCGGUAAACGGCGGCCGUAACUAUAACGGUCCUAAGGUAGCGAAAUUCCUUGUCGGGUAAGUUCCGACCUGCACGAAUGGCGUAAUGAUGGCCAGGCUGUCUCCACCCGAGACUCAGUGAAAUUGAACUCGCUGUGAAGAUGCAGUGUACCCGCGGCAAGACGGAAAGACCCCGUGAACCUUUACUAUAGCUUGACACUGAACAUUGAGCCUUGAUGUGUAGGAUAGGUGGGAGGCUUUGAAGUGUGGACGCCAGUCUGCAUGGAGCCGACCUUGAAAUACCACCCUUUAAUGUUUGAUGUUCUAACGUUGACCCGUAAUCCGGGUUGCGGACAGUGUCUGGUGGGUAGUUUGACUGGGGCGGUCUCCUCCUAAAGAGUAACGGAGGAGCACGAAGGUUGGCUAAUCCUGGUCGGACAUCAGGAGGUUAGUGCAAUGGCAUAAGCCAGCUUGACUGCGAGCGUGACGGCGCGAGCAGGUGCGAAAGCAGGUCAUAGUGAUCCGGUGGUUCUGAAUGGAAGGGCCAUCGCUCAACGGAUAAAAGGUACUCCGGGGAUAACAGGCUGAUACCGCCCAAGAGUUCAUAUCGACGGCGGUGUUUGGCACCUCGAUGUCGGCUCAUCACAUCCUGGGGCUGAAGUAGGUCCCAAGGGUAUGGCUGUUCGCCAUUUAAAGUGGUACGCGAGCUGGGUUUAGAACGUCGUGAGACAGUUCGGUCCCUAUCUGCCGUGGGCGCUGGAGAACUGAGGGGGGCUGCUCCUAGUACGAGAGGACCGGAGUGGACGCAUCACUGGUGUUCGGGUUGUCAUGCCAAUGGCACUGCCCGGUAGCUAAAUGCGGAAGAGAUAAGUGCUGAAAGCAUCUAAGCACGAAACUUGCCCCGAGAUGAGUUCUCCCUGACUCCUUGAGAGUCCUGAAGGAACGUUGAAGACGACGACGUUGAUAGGCCGGGUGUGUAAGCGCAGCGAUGCGUUGAGCUAACCGGUACUAAUGAACCGUGAGG
rnacentral:rRNA from 1 species